rnacentral:rRNA from 1 species
CCUACGGGGAGGCAGCAGUGGGGAAUUUUGGACAAUGGGCGCAAGCCUGAUCCAGCAAUGCCGCGUGAGUGAAGAAGGCCUUCGGGUUGUAAAGCUCUUUUGUCAGGGAAGAAACGGCUSCGGAUAAUAUCUGGGGCUAAUGACGGUACCUGAAGAAUAAGCACCGGCUAACUACGUGCCAGCAGCCGCGGUAAUACGUAGGGUGCAAGCGUUAAUCGGAAUUACUGGGCGUAAAGCGUGCGCAGGCGGUUUUGUAAGUCUGUCGUGAAAUCCCCGGGCUCAACCUGGGAAUUGCGWUGGAGACUGCAAGGCUGGAAUCUGGCAGAGGGGGGUAGAAUUCCACGUGUAGCAGUGAAAUGCGUAGAGAUGUGGAGGAACACCGAUGGCGAAGGCAGCCCCCUGGGUCAAGAYUGACGCUCAUGCACGAAAGCGUGGGGAGCAAACAGGAUUAGAUACCCUGGUAGUCCACGCCCUAAACGAUGUCUACUAGUUGUCGGGUUUUAAUUAACUUGGUAACGCAGCUAACGCGUGAAGUAGACCGCCUGGGGAGUACGGUCGCAAGAUUAAAACUCAAAUGAAUUGACGG